rnacentral:lncRNA from 1 species
AAAGUUCUCCCCAGCAGUUGAGCCCAAGGCCACGUUUUCAUUUCCCGGAGCUCGCAUGUGGGCUGACCCAUUUCCUUGGGGGCCUAUCUUAUGAACCUGGCUCUGGCAUUGCUCUGUAAGGGAAUUUCAGAGAGCAGGGUCAUUUGAUCCCGGGGGACUCUCCUCCAGACCAUCUAUAGAAUGGAUUAGUUGAUGGACACCAGUCAUGAAGAAGCUGAUCUCUGAGAGAUGAGUAUGAAAAUGCACAUUGCUGGUAUCCAGCAUCUUCCGGCCUCAGGGCGAUGUUGCAGAGGAUGAGAGUCCAUGAUGGAAGAGCAGAAAUGACAGCAGGGUGACACAUGGCUAGAGGAGCAACUGAGAGCUCAUGUUUUGAUCCACACUCAGGAAGGAGCAGUGAUAGAGUUGCCGAUGCUUCCUCCAAGUCUCCUCAAGAUUGCUCUCCAUGUUGCUACAGUACCCUCUGCCACGGGCCAUCCCAGAGCACUCCCACGACAAGUGACCAUUGUGUAUUGGAACCGUCACUUGCUUUGCUUCUGCUGGACGCAAGCACUUACUUUGUUGAACUAAACUCAAUGGAUUGAAACUAUGAAGCUUAUCAAUACUAAGUAUUAAGUAGGUUUGGGUUCCAGAGACCAAGCUCAGGUUUUCAGGGCUGUGAGGCAAAUGCUUUGACCCACCGGGCUAUCUUGCUGGUCCAAAUAGAUGCAUUUUGCUACAGAUCAGCUGAGUUUUUACCCUUAACUUUCAAGAUACACUAUUUUUCAAGAUAGGUACACUUAAACACUUUGAAUUUAUAUUUUUUAAAGACUCAUUUAUUUUAAUACGCAUGGAGCUAGGCCUGCAUAUAUGUCUGUAUGUGGACAUCACAUCCCCUGGAACGGGAGUUACAGACAGUUGUGAGCUGCCAUGUAGGUGCUGGGAAUUGAACCCAGGCCCUCUGGAAGAGCAGCCAGUGCUCUUAACUGCUGAGUCAUCUCUCCAGCCCCUUGAAUUCAUAUUUUUAAAUUGUUCUCUAGGAAGAUUGAAUGUGACAUCGAGGUAGGUGUCUUUCUACAAAUUUAGCGAAGCAUGUCCUUCACCUCUGUCAGCAGUGGAAUGAUUCCCUGAAAGGUCCAGUCCUGUGAACUAGAGAAGCUAUGUCUGGACCAAGCAGCCUGACAUUUGCUUUUCUAGGCAGUGAAAUCUGAGAGAAGCAGGGAAGGAGAUUCUCGGUUUACCUCCAACUUUACGCCUGAUGGCUGCCGGUCGUGAUUUCCAUACCCACAACCCCUGGCUUUUUUGGAAAGCAUUUUGUUUGAUUCUAAUUUGGAAGAUCUUUUUUAAUUGGCUGACACCCUACACCAUUACUUUAUAUCCCUAGCUGAAAAAUGACAUUAAAAAAAAAUCCAUUUCCCUGAAAACCCCUCCGGUCUUGAGAUUAGUUCUCACCCCCGUGUGGAUCAUCACGGCUGCAGCUUCCUAAGGGAUUACUCACAUGAGCAAGAACAGUCACUCUGCAUGGAAAGAUUGAGAGCCGCUAGUCCGCGGAACCUAAUUUAGAAAUAACCUGCAAGCACUAGUUAGCGACUAAUGAAGGUUAACUGAGCCCUCCCUGGAGACCGUUCUCUCGGUCUAUCUAUAACUGCCAAGACUCUCUUUUACAUUUGUUACACCCAGGGGACCAGAAAGGAGAAUAAAGACCGAAGGGGGAGAGCAGUCAGCUGCUCGCUUGCUGCAUUCGCCUGCCCUACUUAGAAAGACAGCAACACAUACAUUGUCUGACCAGCUCUCUAGAUUAGAGCCCCAUCCCAAUGGUGAUUAUUAUCCACAAUUUAUUUAGUUGUUUCAUGUCAAAGUGAUGCAAGAGCAUAUUGAGCUGUAGAUAUUUUAAGUAAAUUCCUAUGGUAAAUUUUUUUGUGGCACAUUCCAAAAA